GUUUAUUUUGAGAGUGUUUGCUGUAUAAUUGGACUUAAUGUUUAGAGGUACAGUAGGCAUGACUUCGGGUAGAU
rnacentral:pre_miRNA from 1 species